rnacentral:rRNA from 1 species
AUGAACGCUGGCGGCGUGCUUAACACAUGCAAGUCGAACGAAGCAUUUAAGGCAGAUUACUUCGGUUUGAAGUCUUUUAUGACUGAGUGGCGGACGGGUGAGUAACGCGUGGGUAACCUGCCUCAUACAGGGGGAUAGCAGCUGGAAACGGCUGGUAAUACCGCAUAAGCGCACAGUACCACAUGGUACAGUGUGAAAAACUCCGGUGGUAUGAGAUGGACCCGCGUCUGAUUAGCUUGUUGGCGGGGUAACGGCCCACCAAGGCGACGAUCAGUAGCCGACCUGAGGGGGUGGCCGGCCCCAUUGGGAAAGGGAACCGGCCCAGGCCCCUACGGGAAGCAGCAGGGGGGAAAAUUGGACAAUGGGAGAAACUCCAGUGCAGGGACGCCGGGGUAAUGAAAGAAUGGGUCGCCAUGUAAAGCUCUUUCAGAAGGGAAGAUAGGAGCGGUACCUGACGAAGAAGCCCCGGCAAAAAACG